rnacentral:tRNA from 1 species
GGUUGUGGCUCCGUGGUAGAGCAUUCACCUAGCAUGUGUAAGGCCCUGGGUUCGAUCCUCAGCACCA